rnacentral:tRNA from 1 species
AAUGAAGAGCCUGAUUAAAGGAUUACCGUGAUAGGGUAAAAUAUGUAGCACAAAAUUAAACUACCUUUAUUA